GUCUGCUAGGGCUCGUGAGCUGUGACUCAAACCCAGAGACAUCGGCAGGGAGUGAGACAAAAAAGAGAGGCAACGGUUCUCUUUCUUGUGAAAAAGGAGAAAGAAAGUAAGAAACAAAAAGAAUGAGAGAGAAAUAGGUUCUGACACCUGUGGCGGAAGCCCAGCAUGCAUUGGUCCUGGAUCAGCAGGCCCCGGCGUUCUGAAGGGAGAAGCGUGGUGCUGCUGGGAUCUGAUGGGCCAAGCUGCAAUAACUCAAGGCCCGGCUCAGAGAAAGCUGAUAGCCUGGCAGGCGUUGGUUUACGGCCAGAUGCCCCGAGAGCAGCAGUCCUGGAUGCUGCUGAGACUUUAUCCUCAGACGCUGGUACUUUUCAUCUGAAUGGCUACAUGCAAUUUUAAUGCAGGAGGCCCCAAAUACAAAUCCCACAGUAGGUUAUCUUUUUGGGAUUCAUCCAGAGAGAGCGAG
rnacentral:lncRNA from 1 species